GACGAACGCUGGCGGCGUGCUUAACACAUGCAAGUCGAACGGAAAGGCCCUGCUUUUGUGGGGUGCUCGAGUGGCGAACGGGUGAGUAACACGUGAGUAACCUGCCCUUGACUUUGGGAUAACUUCAGGAAACUGGGGCUAAUACCGGAUAGGAGCUCCUGCUGCAUGGUGGGGGUUGGAAAGUUUCGGCGGUUGGGGAUGGACUCGCGGCUUAUCAGCUUGUUGGUGGGGUAGUGGCUUACCAAGGCUUUGACGGGUAGCCGGCCUGAGAGGGUGACCGGCCACAUUGGGACUGAGAUACGGCCCAGACUCCUACGGGAGGCAGCAGUGGGGAAUAUUGCACAAUGGGCGGAAGCCUGAUGAAGCAACGCCGCGUGCGGGAUGACGGCCUUCGGGUUGUAAACCGCUUUCGCCUGUAACGCAGCGUGAGUGACGGUAAUGGGUAAAGAAGCACCGGCUAACUACGUG
rnacentral:rRNA from 1 species